ACAUAUCAAAUGUAAAGUAAAAAACAAAUAGGUCUAACAUGUAGGAAAUUCUACUUUAUGAUAUGGCCGGACCUUCUUAUCUGCAGUGAAGAAUGAUGAUGGCAAGUGCAGACCAGCAGUGUGUGUCAUCAUGGAUGAGAAAAGUCUACUCACAUCAACAUCAUUCAAGUUGAUGGUCGAACGGGAACAAGUGUGCUGCUGUGGCGAUAUUGUAACAGCUUUCGCGUGCUUUGUGAGUGCUUUCUACGUCUUUCAUUUGAAGUACCCUGUAACACACAUCAAAACACUGGAAUUCACGCAGAUCGCCUUACUGGGUAUUAAGGACAAAUGUCCAGUUCAGAAAACGGUACUCACUUUGAUCUCAAGGUUGAACAAGUUCACACAAAAGAAAGAGGAUUAAGAUGCCCCAACCCAGUGACCAGAGUCAACUUGUUUAUUGUUGUUACUUGUUAAAAACAAGUUUUAAUGUUUGUAAGUUUUAAAUACAAGUUUUAAAAUUGGGUGGCGCGGCAGAGAUCUAUGUCGGGAACUGGGGGUAUAGGGUUCUGUUAAUGGACAUGUGUAGUACUUCAGGUUUGGACAAUGAUAUCAAAUGUGAACUAGGUAAGGUUUUCGGUAACACCAUGUACAAGGAAGAAUCUCUCCUUGAGUGUGUGGUUCUGAGAAGAACUAGUGGUGAACACUUGACGUUACAAACAGUAUCAUACGGUUCGGAACAUCGUGAUUCUUCCUUGUACAUGGCGUUACCACAAACCUAUCCUAGUUCAGUACCUCCACCAUGCAUAACUUCAUUGCAUACAUACAUGUACAGUCUUGUGUUUGAUUAUGAUGUGAAUUAAGAUGUCUAAGAGUUUAUUAAUAGAGCAACUAAAGAACUGUCAUUAAAACAAGUUUUAAAAUUAUGUGACAUGUGGCGGAGAUCCUUGUUGGGGACUGUGAUGGGGGGUAUGGGGUUUGGGGAAUAGGGUGUUGUUUGGAAAUGACUUCAACUUGAAAAAGGGGGGGGGGCUUGCUGACACCACAAGGCAGAAUGGCCUGUACAUGCUUGCAACUUCAUCCACAUGACAAAUUACCAGCUUUUGAUUUUUACUUAAUCUCUAACUUUCAGUGUGAUUGAUUUUACCUUGAAUGUCAAAUCCUUAUU